ACAUGCCUACAACAUAGCGUUAAUGCACUGGAUCCCAUUAGACUCCAUAGUUAAGCGUGCUUAGGCUAGAGUAGUACUGGGAUGGGUGACCACCCGAGAAGUCCUAGUAUUUUACAUGCC
rnacentral:rRNA from 1 species